rnacentral:rRNA from 1 species
GAUGAACGCUAGCGGCAGGCCUAACACAUGCAAGUCGAGGGAGAAGCCCUUCGGGGCAGAAACCGGCGCACGGGUGCGUAACGCGUAUGCAACCUACCUUUCACAGGGGGAUAGCCCGAAGAAAUUUGGAUUAAUACCCCAUAAUAUUAUUGGAUGGCAUCAUUUGAUAAUUAAAAUUACGAUGGUGAAAGAUGGGCAUGCGUCCUAUUAGCUAGUUGGAGUGGUAACGGCACCCCAAGGCUACGAUAGGUAGGGGUCCUGAGAGGGAGAUCCCCCACACUGGUACUGAGACAGGGACCAGACUCCUACGGGAGGCAGCAGUGAGGAAUAUUGGUCAAUGGUCGGAAGACUGAACCAGCCAUGCCGCGUGCAGGAAGAAUGCCUUAUGGGUUGUAAACUGCUUUUAUAUGGGAAGAAUAAGGAGUACGUGUACUUUGANGACGGU